GGCGAGCCGCCGCGGUAACACCGGCGGCCCGAGUGGUGAUCGUGAUUAUUGGGUCUAAAGGGUCCGUAGCCGGUUUGGUCAGUCCUCCGGGAAAUCUGAUAGCUCAACUAUUAGGCUUCGGGGGAUACUAUUAGACUUGAGACCGGGAGAGGUUAGAGGUACUCCCAGGGUAGAGGUGAAAUUCUGUAAUCCUGGGAGGACCGCCUGUUGCGAAGGCGUCUAACUGGAACGGUUCUGACGGUGAGGGACGAAAGUUAGGGGCGCGAACCGGAUUAGAUACCCGGGUAGUCCUAACUGUAAACGAUGCGGACUUGGUGUUGGGGUGGCUUUGAGCUGCUCCAGUGCCGAAGGGAAGCUGUUAAGUCCGCCGCCUGGGAAGUACGGUCGCAAGACUGAAACUUAAAGGAAUUGGCGGGGAGCACCACAACGCGUGGAGCCUGCGGUUUAAUUUGGAUUCAACGCCGGACAUCUCACCAGAGGCGACAGCUGCAUGAUAGCCAGGUUGAUGACUUUGCUUGACUAGCUGAGUGGAGGUGCAUGG
rnacentral:rRNA from 1 species